CCAAAGGCUCUUCUCAGAGCCGCCCACUCACUCCCUAAUAGCUGU
rfam:Xenopus tropicalis strain Nigerian Chr06_contig_47, whole genome shotgun sequence.